UUGCAGCCCGACUUGAGUGGAAAUCCUUUUUGCUUGCGAAAAUUUUCUAUUUAAAAAUUAAUCUCGUAGCAAAAAGAUUGGGAACGGAAGGCGGAUCAAGC
rnacentral:sRNA from 1 species